ACAGGUGUCUCCAAAGGUACAUGUUGGGUUGGCGUAUUUCGAGAUUAGGUUUUGUCACUCCGAUUGUCGGAGAGGUAUCUCUGGGCCCUCUCGGUAAUGCAUAUCACUAUAAGCCUUGCAAGCAAUGUAGCUAAUGAGUUAGUUACAGAAUGAUGCAUUACGGAACGAGUAAAGAGACUUGCCGGUAACGAGAUUGAACUAGGUAUUGGAUAUCGACGAUCGAAUCUUGGGCAAGUAACAUACCGAUGACAAAGGGAACAACGUAUGUUGUUAUGCGGUUUGAUCGAUAAAGAUCUUCGUAGAAUAUGAAGGAGCCAAUAUGGGCAUCCAAGUUCCGCUAUUGGUUAUUGACCGAGAAUAGUUCUAGGUCAUGUCUACAUAGUUCUCGAACCCAUAGGAUCCGCACGCUUAACGUUACGAUGACAGUUUUAUUAUGAGUUUAUAAGUUUUGAUGUACCGAAGGAGUUCGGAGCCCCGGAUGAGAUCAGGGACAUGACGAGGAGUCUUGAAAUGGUCGAGACAUAAAGAUCGAUAUAUUGGACGACUAUAUUCGGAGUUCGGAAAGGUUCCGAGUGAUUCGGAUAUUUUUUGGAGUACUGGAGAGUUACGGGAAUUCGUAUUGGGCCUCAAUGGGCCAUACGGGAAAGGAGAGAAAGGGCCAAAAGGGUGGCCGCACCCCUCCCCUUGGACUAGUCCGAAUUGGACUAGGGAGGGGGGGCGCCCCCUUCCUUCCUUCUCCUUCUCUCUUCCCUUUCCUUCUCUCCUACUCCUACUACAUGGAAGGGUUCCUAGUUCUACUAGGAAAGGGGGAAUCCUACUCCCAGUGGGAGUAGGACUCCCCUAGGGCGCGCCAUAGAGAGGGACGGCCCUCCCCCUCCUCCACUCCUUUAUAUACGGGGGCAGGGGGCACCCCAUAGACACACAAGUUGAUCUACGGAUCGUUCCUUAGCCGUGUGCGGUGCCCCCCUCCACCAUAUUCCACCUCGGUCAUAUCGUCGCGGAGUUUAGGCGAAGCCCUGCACCGGUAGAACAUCAUCAUCGUCACCACGCCGUCGUGCUGACGGAACUCGUCCCCGACGCUUUGCUGGAUUGAAGUCCGGGGAACGUCAUCGAGCUGAACGUGUGCUGAACACGGAGGUGCCGUACGUUCGGUACUUGGAUCGGUCGGAUCGUGAAGACGUACGACUACAUCAACCGCGUUGUCAUAACGCUUCUGCUUUACGGUCUACGAGGGUACGUGGACAACACUCUCCCCUCUCGUUGCUAUGCCAUCACCAUGAUCUUGCGUGUGCGUAGGAAUUUUUUUGAAAUUACUACGUUCUCCAACAGUGGCAUCUGAGCCUAGGUUUUAUGCGUUGCUGUUAUAUGCACGAGUAGAACACAAGUGAUUUGUGGGCGAUACAAGUCAUACUGCUUACCAGCAUGUCAUACUUUGGUUCGGCGGUAAUGUUGGAUGAAGCGGCCCGGACCGACAUUACGCGUACGCUUACGCGAGACUGGUUCUACCGACGUGCUUUGCACACAGGUGGCUGGCGGGUGUCAGUUUCUCCAACUUUAGUUGAACCGAGUGUGGCUACGCCCGGUCCUUGCGAAGGUUAAAACAGCACUAACUUGACGAACUAUCGUUGUGGUUUUGAUGCGUAGGUAAGAACGGUUCUUGCUCAGCCCGUAGCAGCCACGUAAAAUUUGCAACAACAAAGUAGUGGACGUCUAACUUGUUUUUGCAGGGCAUGUUGUGAUGUGAUAUGGUCAAGACGUGAUAAGAUAUAAGUUGUUGUAUGAGAUGAUCAUGUUUUGUUGAAGUUAUCGGGAACUGGCAGAAGUCCUAUGGAUGUCUCUUUGUUGCAUAAGAUGCAAGUGCCAAAUAAUUGCUUUACUUUAUCGCUAUACGAUAGCAAUAGUUGCAAGAGCAAUAGUUGGUGAGACAACCAUGUGAUGACACAUUGAUAUAGAUCAAGAUGAUGAAGAUCAUGGUGUCGUGCCAGUGACGAUAGAGAUCAUGACAGUACUUUGGAGAUGGAGAUCAAAGGCGCAAGAUGAUCAUGGCCAUAUCAUGUCACAUAUUUUGAUUGCAUAUGAUGUUUAUCUAUUAUACAUCUUAUUCUUGCUUUGAUUGACGAUAGCAUUUUAAGAUGAUCUCUCACUAAUUAUCAAGAAGUGUUCUCCCUGAGUAUGCACCGUUGCCAAAGUUCAUCGUGCCCAGACACCACGUGAUGAUCGGGUGUGAUAAGCUCUACGUCCAUCUACAACGGGUGCAAGCCAGUUUUGCACACGCGGAAUACUCAGGUUAAACUUGACGAGCCUAGCAUAUGCAGAUAUGGCCUCGGAGCACGAAGACCGAAAGGUCGAGCGUGAAUCAUAUAGUAGAUAUGAUCAACAUAGUGAUGUUCACCAUUGAAAACUACUCCAUCUCACGUGAUGAUCGGUUAUGGUUUAGUUGAUUUGGAUCACGUGAUCACUUAGAUGACUAGAGAGAUGUCUGUCUAAGUGGGAGUUCUUAAGUAAUAUGAUUAAUUGAACUUAAACUUAUCAUGAACUUAGUCCUGGUAGUAUUUUGCAAAUUAUGUUGUAAGAUCAAUAGCUUGCGUUGUUGCUUUCAUAUGUUUAUUUUGAUAUGUUCCUAGAGAAAAUUGUGUUGAAAAAUGUUAGUAGCAAUGAUGCGGAUUGGAUCCGCGAUCUGAGGUUUAUCCCCAUUGCUGCACAGAAGAAUUAUGUCCUUAAUGCACCGCUAGGUGACAGACCUAUUGCAGGAGCAGAUGCAGACGUUAUGAACGUUUGGCUAGCAUAUGCAGAUAUGGCCUCAGAACACGGAGACCGAAAGGUCGAGCGUGAAUCAUAUAGUAGACAUGAUCAACAUAGUGAUGUUCACCAUUGAAAACUACUCCAUCUCACGUGAUGAUCGGUUAUGGUUUACUUGAUUUGGAUCACGUGAUCACUUAGAUGACUAGAGAGAUGUCUGUCUAAGUGGGAGUUCUUAAGUAAUAUGAUUAAUUGAACUUAAGUUUAUCAUGAACUUAGUCCUGGUAGUAUUUUACAAAUUAUGUUGUAGAUCAAUAGCUCGCUUUGUUGCUUUCAUAUGUUUAUUUUAAUAUGUUCCUAGAGAAAACUGUGUUGAAAAAUAUUAGUAGCAAUGAUGCAGAUUGGAUCCGUGAUCUGAGGAUUGUCCUCAUUGCUGCACAGAAGAAUUAUGUCCUUAAUGCACCGCUAAGUGAUGGACCUAUUGUAGAAGCAGAUGCAGACGUUAUGAACGUUUGGCUAGCUCAAAAUGAUGACUACUUGAUAGUUUUGUGCACCAUGCUUUAUGGCUUAGAAUCGGGACUUCAAAAAUGUUUUGAACGUCAUGGACCAUAUGAGAUGAUCCAGGAAUUGAAGUUAAUAUUUCAAGCAAAUACCCGAGUUGAGAGAUAUGAAGUCUCCAACAAGUUCUAUAGCUAAAAGAUGGAGGAGAAUCGCUCAACUAGUGAGCAUGUGGUCAGAUUGUCUGGGUACUUCAAUCGCUUGAAUCAAGUGGGAGUUAAUCUUCCAGAUAAGAUAAUGAUUGACAAAAUUCUCUAGUCACCAUCACUAAGUUACUGGAACUUCAUGAUGAACUAUAGUAUGCAAGGGAUGACGAAAACGAUUCUCGAGCUCUUCGUGAUGUUGAAAUCGACGAAGGUAGAAAUCAAGAAAUAGCAUCAAGUGUUGAUGAUUGACAAGACCACUAGUUUCAAGAAAAGGGCAAAGGGAAAGAAAGGGAAACUUCAAGUAGAAUGACAAACAAGUUGUCACUCCCAUGAAGAAGACCAAAGCUGGACCAAAGCCUGAAACUGAGUGUUUACACUGCAAAGGAAAUGGUCACUGGAAGCGGAAAUGCCCUGAAUAUUUGGUGGAGAAGAAGGAUGGCAAAGUGAACAAGGGUAUAUUUGAUAUACAGGUUAUUGAUGUGUGCUUUACUAGUGUUUACAGUAGCCCCUGAGUAUUUGAUACUUGUUCGGUUGCUAAGAUUAGUAACUCGAAACAGGAGUUACAGAAUAAACAAAGACUAGUUGAAGGGGAAGUGACGAUGAGUGUUGGAAGUAGUUCCAAGAUUGAUAUGAUCAUCAUCGCACACUCCCUAUACUUUCGGGAUUAGUGUUAAACCUAAAUAAAUGUUAUUUGGCGUUUGCGUUGAGCAUGAAUAUGAUUUUAUCAUGUUUAUUGCAAUACGGUUAUUCACUUAAAAUCAGAGAAUAAUUGUUGUUCUAUUUAAAUGAAUAAAACCUUCAAUGGUCAUACACCCAACGAAAAUAGUUUGUUGGCUCUCGAUCGUAGUGAUGCACAUAUUCAUAAUAUUGAUGCCAAAAGAUGCAAAGUUAAUAAUGAUAGUGCAACUUAUUUGUGGCACUGCCGUUUUGGUCAUAUCGGUGUAAAGCGCAUGAAGAAACUCCAUAAAGAUGGAUUUUCGGAAUCACUUGGUUAUGAAUCAUUUGAUGCUUGCGAACCGUGCCUUUUGUGCAAGAUGACUAAAACUCCGUUCUCCGGAACAAUGGAACAAGCUACUGACUUAUUGGAAAUAAUACAUACCGAUGUAUGCGAUCCAAUGAGUGUUGAUGCUCGUGGCAAGUAUCGUUAUUUUCUGACCUUCACAAGAUGAUUUGAGCAGAUAUGGGUAUAUCUACUUGAUGAACCAUAAGUCUGAAAUAGUUGAAAGGUUCAAAGAAUUUCAGAGUGAAGUGGAAAAAUCAUCGUAACAAGAAAAUAAAGUUUCUGCGAUCUGAUCGCGGAGACGAAUAUUUGAGUUACGAGUUUGGUCUUCAAUUAAAACAAUGUGGAAUAGUUUCACAGCUCACGCCACCUGGAACACCACAACGUUAUGGUGUGUCCAAACAUCGUAACCGCACUUUAUUGGAUAUAGUGCGAUCUAUGAUGUCUCUUACCGAUUUACCAUUAUUGUGUUUGGGUUAUGCAUUAGAGACAGCUGCAUUCACGUUAAAAGGGCACCAUCUAAAUCCGUUGAGAUGACACCAUAUGAACUGUGGUUUAGCAAGAAACCCAAGUUGUCGUUUCUUAAAGUUUGGGGCUGCGAUGCUUAUGUGAAAAAGUUUCAUCCUGAUAAGCUCGAACCCAAAUCGGAGAAGUGCGUCUUCAUAGAAUACCCAAAGGAAAUUGUUGGGUACACCUUCUAUCACAGAUCCGAAGGCAAGAUAUUCGUUGUUAAAAAUGGAUCCUUUCUAGAGAAGGAGUUUCUCUCGAAAGAAGUGAGUGGGAGAAAAGUAGAACUUGAUGAGGUAACUGUACCUUCUCCCAAAUUGGAAAAUUGUUCAUCACUGAAAUCAGUUCCAGUGAUUUCUACACCAAUUAGUGAGGAAGCUGAUGAUGAUGAUCAUGAAACUUCAGAUCAAGUUACUAGAGAACCUCGUAGGUCUUCCAGAGUACGGUCCGCACCAGAGUGGUACGGUAAUCCUGUUCUGGAAGUCAUGUUACUAGACCAUGAUGAACCUACGAACUAUGAGGAAGCGAUGAUGAGCCCAGAUUCCGCAAAAUGGCUUAAGGCCAUGAAAUCUGAGAUGGGAUCCAUGUAUGAGAACAAAGUGUGGACUUUGGUGGAGUUGCCCGAUGAUCGGCAAGCCAUAUUGUAUAAAUGGAUCUUCAAGAGGAAGACGGACGUUGAUAGUAGUGUUACUAUCUACAAAGCUCGACUUGUCGCAAAAAGGUUUUUGACAAGUUCAAGGUGUUGACUACAAUGAGAUUUUCUCAACUGUAGCGAUGCUUAAGUCUGUCCGAAUCAUGUUAGCAAUUGCCACAAUUUAUGAAAUCUGGCAAAUGGAUGUCAAAACUGCAUUCCUUAAUGAUUUUCUCAAAGAAGAGUUGUAUAUGAUGCAACCAGAAGAUUUUGUCAAUCCUAAAGGUACUAACAAAAUGUGCAUGCUCCAGCGAUCCAUCUAUGGACUGGUGCAAGCAUCUCGGAGUUGGAAUACACGCUUUGAUGAGUUGAUCAAAGCAUAUAGUUUUGUAUAGACUUACGGUGAAGCCUGUAUUUACAAGAAAGUGAGUGGGAGCACUACAGCAUUUCUGAUAAGUAUAUGUGAAUGACAUAUUGUUGAUCGGAAAUAAUGUAGAAUUAUUCUGCAAAGCAUAAAGGAGUGUUUGAAAGGAGUUCUUUAAAAUAAAGACCUCAGUAAAGCUACUUACAUAUUGAGCAUCAAGAUCUAUUGAGAUAGAUCAAGACGCUUGAUAAGAUUUUCAAUGAGUACAUACCUUGACAAGAUUUUGAAGUAGUUCAAAAUGGAACAGUCCAAGAAGGAGUUCUUGCCUGUGUUGCAAGGUCUGAAGUUGAGUAAGACUCAAGACCCGACCAUAGCAGAAAAUAGAAAGAGAAUGAAAAAUCAUUCCCUAUGCCUCAGUCAUAGGUUUUAUAAAGUAUGCUAUGCUGUGAACCAGACCAAUUGUAUACUCUGCCCUGGUUUGGCAAGGGAGUACAAUAAUGAUCUAGGAGUAGAUCACUGGACAUUGGUCAAAAUUAUCCUUAGUGGAAUAAGGAUAUGUUUCUCAAUUAUGGAGGUGACAAAAGGUUCGUCGUAAAAGGUUACGUCGAUACAAGUUUUGGCACUGAUCCAGAUGACUCUAAGUCUUUAAUAUGGAUACAUAUUGAAAGUGGGAGCAAUUAGCUAGAGUAGCUCCGUGUUGAGUAUUGUAGACAUAGAAUAUUUGCAAAAUACAUAUGGCUCUGAAUGUGACAGACCCGUUGACUAAACUUCUCUCACGAGCAAAACAUGAUCAUACCUUUGUACUCUUUGGGUGUUAAUCACAUAGUGAUGUGAACUAGAUUAUUGACUCUAGUAAACCCUUUGGGUGUUGGUCACAUGACGAUGUGAACUAUGGGUGUUAAUCAUAUACAGAUAUGAUUAUUGGUGUUAAGUCACAUGGCGAUGUGAACUAGAUUAUUGACUCUAGUGCAAGUGGGAGACUGAAGGAAAUAUGCCCUAGAGGCAAUAAUAAAGUUAUUAUUUAUUUCCUUAUUUCAUGAUAAAUUUUUAUUAUUCAUGCUAGAAUUGUAUUAACCGGAAAAAUAAUACAUGUGUGAAUACAUAGACAAACAUAGUUUCACUAGUAUGCCUCUACUUGACUAGCUCGUGAAUCAAAGAUGGUUAAGUUUCCUAGCCAUAGACAUGAGUUCUCAUUUGAUUAACGGGAUCACAUCAUUAGGAAAAUGAUGUGAUUGACUUGACCCAUUCCGUUAGCUUAGCACUUGAUCGUUUAGUAUGUUGCUAUUGCUUUCUUCAUGACUUAUACAUGUUCCUGUAACUAUGAGAUUAUGCAACUCCCGUUUACCGGAGGAACACUUUGGGUGCUACCAAACGUCACAACGUAACUGGGUGAUUAUAAAGGAGUACUACAGGUGUCUCCAAAGGUACAUGUUGGGUUGGCGUAUUUCGAGAUUAGGUUUUGUCACUCCGAUUGUCGGAGAGGUAUCUCUGGGCCCUCUCGGUAAUGCACAUCACUAUAAGCUUUGCAAGCAAUGUAGCUAAUGAGUUAGUUACGGAAUGAUGCAUUACGGAACGAGUAAAGAGACUUGCCGGUAACGAGAUUGAACUAGGUAUUGGAUACCGACGAUCGAAUCUCGGGCAAGUAACAUACCGAUGACAAAGGGAACAACGUAUGUUGUUAUGCGGUUUGACCAAUAAAGAUCUUUGUAGAAUAUG
rnacentral:lncRNA from 1 species